rnacentral:rRNA from 1 species
UACGGAGGGUGCAAGCGUUGUCCGGAAUCACUGGGCGUAAAGGGUGCGUAGGUGGCGUGGUAAGUCGGGUGUGAAAUUUCGGAGCUUAACUCCGAAACUGCAUUCGAUACUGCCGUGCUUGAGGACUGGAGAGGAGACUGGAAUUUACGGUGUAGCAGUGAAAUGCGUAGAGAUCGUAAGGAAGACCAGUGGCGAAGGCGGGUCUCUGGACAGUUCCUGACACUGAGGCACGAAGGCCAGGGGAGCAAACGGG